rnacentral:rRNA from 1 species
UGCCAGCCGCCGCGGUAAUACGGAGGAUGCAAGCGUUAUCCGGAAUCAUUGGGUUUAAAGGGUCCGUAGGUGGAUUAAUAAGUCAGAGGUGAAAUCCUGCAGCUCAACUGUAGAAUUGCCUUUGAUACUGUUAAUCUUGAGUCAUUAUGAAGUGGUUAGAAUGUGUAGUGUAGCGGUGAAAUGCAUAGAUAUUACACAGAAUACCGAUUGCGAAGGCAGAUCACUAAUAAUGUACUGACACUGAGGGACGAAAGCGUGGGGAGCGAACAGGAUUAGAUA